GGGUCUGGUACCCCAGAUGCUGCUGUNGAGGAGGAGGAGGAGGAGGAGGAGGAGGAGGACGACAGGGUGGCUGUUGACAGGAGGAGCAGAAAGGGAGGGAGCCCAGCCCCAGAGUGCUAGGGAAAAGCCGCCCUCCAUGUCCUCGGCCCUAGGAGGGGCGCCCGCGCCCGGGGACGCUUCACCCCGAAUGCCCACUCUCUGUCCCAUGAGACCACCAACUAUUCCAGCGGCGCUAGCAAGAGGCAGCGAAGAGAAAAGAAGACCCGAGAGCAAGAGAGCGAGUGAAGGAAAGGAGAGACGAUGAGGAUCACGUACCUUGAGCUCCUCAAUGUCCAGGUUUGUUGAUCUGUCCAUGGAGCGAAACUAAAGGAAGUGGAGAGGAACCUGGCAAGUUGUACCAAAUAACAAUCUAGUCUUUUAGUUUCCAGCUUAAACUCAGCUUUAUCCUCCUCCAAGCCCUGGCAGCUUCUCUCAGUCUCAUUCUCCGUGGUCACGCCGCCUCCACCGGUUAAAAAUAAUAAAAAUAAAUAAAUAAUAAUGAUAAUUCACUUUGUUUUUACUUCCUCAAAGAUUUAAUGACAGGUGAUCGUUGAUGGUUACCGCGGUGGAACACAGCUCAGUCGAAUCAACCACAGGGGGGAGAAAUCCACUCUAUUUAAGAUUAUUUCUUCUUCUGCAAUAAGCUUAGAAACCAGCGAAUUGCUGCAUCCCAAGAAAAAAAGCUGCUUCCCUGGACAGCAUCAUGCGGCAAAUUUCAAGCAAAUGUGUUCAAACUGAAGAGAAGAGUAUAUGAUAAAAGCCUUCCUCCGUCAGGCUUACUCUGGUAGCUAAUUUGGCACACUGUGAGUCCCAGACAUUACCAAUGAUCAAUUUCCC
rnacentral:lncRNA from 1 species